CGGGAUUCCAGCCCUGGAGUUCCGCUAGGCACCGCGCUGCUUCCCUCUGCUCUCCCUCACUGUACUACCCGGAGCUCCGAGCUCAGCCUCUGCUCUGAAGAAAACUGAGAAUGGAGCAGUACAGAAUGUAGCCAGAAGGAUGGUUCCACGACUCCCACCCAGGGUGAGAAAGAAGAGCUGUUUUCCAAUGGUUGCCGUAGACGGGUGAGAGAGAAGAGGAAGGAGGUGAGAGACUACAAAAUUCUGCCAAGCAAGCAGAGAUUUGGGGGAAUUCAAGCCACGCUCUGUGGUUUUUGUAGGUUCGACUGGAUCACUCACCACCAACACUUCACGCUCUCCUUCCCUUGCUGCGCGGACUGGGGGUAACGACGCCGAUGAUACCCCAGGAUACCCGGGGGACUGAAUCAGGCAGAGCCACAGCGGCUGCAAACUACAAGAAUCAAAUCCCAACAUUAUUCCAUUUUGUUCCCUUCUCGCUUUUCUUAGCUUUGUCUCCUCUUCCAGGACCCCACCUGGACCUCAUUUCAAUGGAUCUCAGAUAAUUUAUUAAGGAAUACUAAGCAGUUUCUAUGUUUUUGGCUGCCCUGUUUCCUACAGUAUACAGACUAGAGUGUUUCCACUUGGUCCAAAACCCCGGCCGAGGUUGAGGGUAAGUGGUCCUUUACAAUACCAAGGCCUCUGACUAUAGGUCUAUUUCCGGUUAUUGGUGGAGGGUGUGUGUCAUCGUGCAAGGAGGGGAAACCAGGUGCCUGCUUCUACUGAUCCUCUGAAAAAGACCUGCCAGGUCUUUGCCAGAGUGUGCCCUGAAAAACAGCCAAGGCACAAAUUAACACCCACUUUCUGGCAAUGGGAACAAUUCCUGAAAAAGCCACUUCCACAAAACCCGAGGCAACCUGGAAUAAUCCAGGAGCCAAGACACAAUUUAUUACUUCACAAAGAACAUAGAAUUCUAAUCCAGCAGCAAAGUAGCUGCUGGGUUUUUUUCCUUUCCCACACAAGCUGCAUUUCAAAGGUCUGACAGUUGCAAUUUACAAGCCCAGCCUGUGAGAGGAAUGCUUUACAUAGCCGAAGAUUUAUAGAAUGUCAUAAGUGAAGACAGCAUAGGGUAGGGAUCGGGUCCUCCUUAGUCCCUCAUCUUAGACUCGGGGCCACCGAGGCCCGGGAAGAGCAAGCAAGAAACUUGCCCAGGAUCGCACACAGCGAUAGGCGAUGAGCCAGCCAGCCGUGAAACCGAGCUACUUGGACCCCGGAUCACUUCUGUCUCCAGCUCCACCAAUCUUUUGAUCACAUUCGAACAUCAAUCAUGUUCUCCACGUAACGUUUAAAAAGAAAUAUUUUUCAUUUUCAAACUAGCAGAAUCCAAAAGGGGAUCCAGGCAUAGCUGAGAAGUACGGAGCCUCGCAACAGCAAGGGUUAAUUUUUAACCCUUCCAAGCCACGUUGCCAUGAAAAGAGGUAGUCGGUAAGAUGGGGCCUGACGUUGCGGUGUGCGUCCGGCGACCCAGGACAACACACGAAGGCACUGCUUGUGAGAAUGUGAAUGGCAAAACCAUUCUGAAGAGGAAAAAAAAAAAGACAAUAUGAAUGAGAUGUCCAAACCUCAGUUGUGAGCCAGAAUUCCCACUUUAGGAACUUUCGCUGAGGAAGACACCAGAAGGAAGAGCAAACAUGCAAUGUACAACAUGUUUCCAGCAAAACACCCAGAAACAAUACAGAGAUCACAAGUUGGCCAGGCAGAGAGAAAGGAAGAAGUAGGCCCCCAGGCUGGAUGCGGGGCUUUAUCCCAGGACCCCAGGAUCAUGACCUGAGCCAAAGGAUCCUGGAGCCGGAUGGUGAUGCUUAUCUCUGCUCCAGCAUCUGUCAAGCCUUCCUAAUUACUCCUGCAGGUGGCCAGAUGGAAUGGGCUCGUGCCCAGGACAGAAAUGUGACCUCAGUGACUAAUGCCCUUCCUUCCCCUGGUACAAAGGAGUCUUCUUUCUGCUCCCUUGCAGAUGUGCUCAACGAUUCUUCUUCUUCCGUGUAUGCUCAGAGAAGCUGAUGUAGGCAAGGGGGCUCUAACUCUGACAUCAGCUGGCCUGGGUUCGAGGACUGGCUCUGCCAUUUAUUUGCUGCCCAAUUUUAAGCAAGUAUCUUCACUUCUCCAAACCCAAUUUUCUUCUUGUGUAAAGGUGUAAUUUCACAAAUGCACCAGCCUUAAGUGUACCGUUCCCCGAGUUCAGACAAACAUUUGCAAACAUUACAGAUGUUUAUACUCAUGUAUCCACCACCCGAGUCAAAGCAGAGAACAUUUCCAUUACCUGAGAAAUUCCCUCCUGCCCCUUUCAAGUCCAUUUCUGUAAACGAAAGCAUCCACUUCCCAAUUUCUGUUACCGUAGCUUAGUUCCACCUGUCUUAGAACUUCACAGAAACCAAACCCUGUGGAUCAGCUCUUCUGUGUCUGGCUUCUUUUGAUCAACAUAAUGGUUUUGAGAUUCAGCCAUGUUUUUGGAUCACAGUUUGGUCCUUUCUGUUGAAUGUGUCUCUUGUGUGAAUAUACUCUGAUUUGUUUAUCCACUCACCUAUUGAUGGGUGUUUUCUGUUUGGGUCUGUUAUGAAUACAGCUGUGAUUAACACUCUUGUUCAAAUCCUCUGUGUGUAUGUGUGUGUGUGCACAUGUAUUUUGAUUUUAAGUCCUCUUGGGUGUGUGUGUGUGUGUGUGUGUAAGCAUGUGUGUGUAGGCAUGUGUGUGUGUACGCACAUGUAUUUGCUGGAUCAGUUCUCCAAGUGGUUGUGCCAUUUUACAUACCCACUAGCAAUGUAUGAAGACUGCUGUCUCUCUCCUCACCAACACUUGGUAUCAUCAGUGGAGUGGCAUUCAUGGCAUUGCGUGGAGGUUUUAACUUGUAUGCUCCUGAUUACUAAUGAUGUAAUUAGUGACCAUUUAUGUAUCUCCUUUUACUAAGUUUCAAUUUAAGCCUUUUGCCCAUUUUAACAGUUUGUUAGUCUUAUUAUUAUUGGCUAUGGGUUCUUUAUAUUCUGGGCAUAAGUCCAUUGUCACAAAAUGGCUUUAAAAAGACUUUCCUACCUAUCUCAAAAAUUCAAGGUGAGGACUGUCACAAUGCUGUGACAGUCUAUAAACUUAAAUGAUAGCCUUCCUUAAUAAAAUUCACAAUUCUGCUAUUUGUAAAUAACAGUAAAAUGGGGGCUAAACGCCUCCAAGGAUGACACAGCAUCCACAGACACAGAGGAGGGGAAGCCCUCGGCUUCAUCCCACCGCCUUGGAAAGCCUCCAGUACUGCUGGUCUACCACCAGAUUCUCCAUAUUUUCCGUCUUGCCCAACCCUGCUUCCCCAUCAACUCACAUUAUGAUUAUCACUCCCUCGUCUUAGCUUAGAUACUGGAUCAAUUUUUUUUGCUUUGAUCUGACUGCUUUCCUUUUUUCUGAAAUAAUGGGUUUGAGCUUCUUGCAAUCACAGUUUAUGUUAUUUUCUCAUGUGACUUGCUGCUUAUCCUAAAUCCCUUCCUUAACCCACCUUCCUGCCUGUCCACCUGGUUUGCAUGGUCUUGCUUUUCUACCAAGAGUUGAAAGGUUCUUGUACUCUGGCCCGUUCAUGUGGCUUCAGGCCCUUGGAUCUGUUCUGGGUCCAGCCCAUUCUUUAUUCUUUGCAUAUCUGGGCUUGCCCAUGAUGAACCAGACUUGGUGCCUCAUUUCUUACCCCAGAAAUAAUACUGCCAGAAUGUCUGUGGGGUAAGACGUUGAUUCUGUUUCCCCGGAUAAAAUAUUAGCAUGGCCUUAGGCAUCAAGGUCUUUAAUAACGGACUUCCUAUCAUGUUUCCCUAUCUAGCUUUUGUUGUUUUUCAAAUAAAUUUUCCAACAAGAAAAUCCAUUUCUAUUUUUCCCCAUUAAAAGUAUAAAAUAAUAAGCAAGGAUCACAAGAGUUGACCCCUCAUUGCUAUUUCCAUGGCAAAUUACUCCUAGCUAGAAGAAAGAAUCUGGGCUCAUGGGAUGUUUUUUUUGUUUUGUUUUGUUUUGUUUUGUUUUUCACACUCCUCUACAUUCAUUCAUUCAUUUGUUCACUCAGCAUUUACUGAUCACCAGCUAGCUGUGAGUUUCUGUGAUUGGGGCUGAAAAUAUAAGUAAACCUCAGACAAAAACCCUUACUCUUAGAUGUUCACUGACUGGUGAGGAAAGCCAACAGAUAAAGGACCUUCCUUCUA